GAGGGUAUGGCUCAGUGGUAGAGCGCAUGCUUAGCAUGCACGAGGUCCUGGGUUUAAUCUUCAGUACCGCCA
rfam:Camelus ferus unplaced genomic scaffold scaffold237, whole genome shotgun sequence.